GAAAACACGCCCCUUCCUUUCGUUGCUAUGGACUUCAGAGACUGUGUGCAGGUGUGAUGUGCUGCUCACAAUCAGUGCGGUGUGCCGUCAAGGCUCCCAAAUGUGUAGCAUGGUAGUUUAACGUAGCUCCGGUUGGAGCGCCAGCUGUUGCCGUCACAACUAUUAAAGAAGCUAUCAUGAUUUUCGUAUGUAGCAUGGUGAGUAUCAUGUCAUCGGGUCACGGUAGGUAAAUCGUUUAGUUCUGUUACUCGAGCUAAACUAUCUUGCAUGCUUUCCAAACUGAGGUUGUAACACCUGUUUGUUCUUAGGGUCCUCGAUUUUGCAUGCGUUAAGGCGGGCCGAGUGAGAUGUGGUCAUCUCGGUAUAGCGCCUCCUCCUCACUCGUGGAGCCACGUCGCUGCUUUGGGGCUGCUUGAUUGUUUGGUUUUGCUGCUUUGGGGCUGCCUCAUUCUGUUUGGUUUUGCUGCUUGUUUUGAUUUGUUUUAUUGUUUAUGUUCUGUUUAGUUUGUUAUUUUGCAUUGUGUUGGUUACUGUCACUGAGAUCAGUUCUCUAUAAUUCAACUGUGUUGUAACAGUCUUUCAGUUAUGCUGAUACUGCUAUGUGGUAGUAGUGGUUUUGGUCAGCUUUGGUAAACUUGCUACCUGUAAUCAGUUUGAGUGUGGGGUUAUCUGUGUUUUUGUGACAGAGCUGAGUGCUUCCUGAGGCUGGGGGGAGUUCUUUGCUGCACUUUAGGCUUGACUCAAUUAAGGGUCGUUAUUAUUGUUGUGUUUAUUUGCAGUGAAUUUGGUGGGUAUGAUUCUGUACGGCUGAUUCUGAUUCGGUAUGAUUCUGUACGGUUUUUUGUACGGCUGGUGCUGUUGUACUAGCCUGCCCCUCAUACAGGAAGCCUCCGUCCUCAUAUGAUUGUUAACUUCCUCUUGUGAUUGUUUUAUUUGACCAAUGCCUG
ensembl:lncRNA